rnacentral:misc_RNA from 1 species
GAAAAUUUCAACCAUACAUUUGGGUGUUUAGCAGUACCUUUUGUUACUUAUAAGUAUCGACCAAUACGGUGUGCUAAUAAUUGUCAUUUGAUGUUUACAUAGCGUCACUUCAAAAAACUUUUUUUUUAAUAUAAAACCUACCAACCCUCCUGAGACUCCAUCACCUACAGUGUAGUUUGCCGAUGGUUUUUGUUUUUACAGGAGAAGUAAUUAAGUACAGUUGAACUUUGAUAUCUCUAACACUGAUAUCUCGAAUACAAUGGAUAUGUUUUACACUUAAUAUCUUGAAUACUUAAAUAUCUCGAACGGUCCCAUCUAGUUUGGGAUAACAAAGUUUUACUGUACUUUAUUUGAUCUUGCAUUCAAUGUCGGAUGCUUUUUUUGUUUUAUCAAUAUUUUGUUGCAUGUUUUGUUGUAUUUUGUUGUAUGCAUAAGGUUUAAUAUAAAUUAUACAUUUUAGUUGUGUGCAGCGGAGGUCACAUUUCAUACUUAAAUCCAAUGUCGGAUGAUCUCACUAUUGUAAGGACCUCCCCUUGGUCUGUUUUUGUUUUUUGUCAAAAUAAAUGACAAUACUGACUC